rnacentral:rRNA from 1 species
UACGUAGGCAGCAAGCGUUGUUCGGAGUUACUGGGCGUAAAGGGUGUGUAGGCGGUUCUUUAAGUUUGGUGUGAAAUCUCCCGGCUCAACCGGGAGGGUGCGCCGAAUACUGAGGGACUCGAGUGCGGGAGAGGAAAGUGGAAUUCCUGGUGUAGCGGUGAAAUGCGUAGAUAUCAGGAGGAACACCGGUGGUGUAGACGGCUUUCUGGACCGUAACUGACGCGGAGACACGAAAGCGUGGGUAGCAAACAGG